AUCAGUAGCUGGUUUUAGAGGAUGAUCAGCAACACUGGGACUGAGACACGGCCCAGACUCCUACGGGAGGCAGCAGUGGGGAAUCUUAGACAAUGGGCGCAAGCCUGAUCUAGCCAUGCCGCGUGAGUGAUGAAGGCCUUAGGGUCGUAAAGCUCUUUCGCCAGAGAUGAUAAUGACAGUAUCUGGUAAAGAAACCCCGGCUAACUCCGUGCCAGCAGCCGCGGUAAUACGGAGGGGGUUAGCGUUGUUCGGAAUUACUGGGCGUAAAGCGCACGUAGGCGGAUCAGAAAGUUGGGGGUGAAAUCCCAGGGCUCAACCCUGGAACGGCCUCCAAAACUCCUGGUCUUGAGUUCGAGAGAGGUGAGUGGAAUUCCGAGUGUAGAGGUGAAA
rnacentral:rRNA from 1 species